rnacentral:rRNA from 1 species
AUUGAACGCUGGCGGCAGGCCUAACACAUGCAAGUCGAGCGCGCGGCGCACGGGUGAGUAAUGUAUCGGGGCUCCCCGACAGGGGGGGGUAACUCUUCGAAACGGUGUCUAUUACCCCAUACUCCAGCAUUACCCAUAUGGGAUUAGCUAGUAGUGGAGGUAAUGGCUCACCUAGGCGACGAGCCCUAGCUGGUCUGAGAGGAUGUUAAGCCACACUGGAACUGAGACACGGCCCAGACUCCUACGGAGGCAGCAGUGGGGAAUAUUGCACAAUGGGCGCAAGCCUGAUGCAGCCAUGCCGCGUGUAUGAAGAAGGCCCUAGGGUUGUAAAGUACUUUCAGUCGGGAGGCGUUACCGGCAGAAGAAGCACCUGCUAACUCCGUGCCAGCAGCCGCGGUAAUAC